rnacentral:lncRNA from 1 species
CCUGGCUCGGCACAGGGCGCGAGCAGAAGCGCCGGCGGCAUUCUGGAGGCGGGCACGGGCGUGGUCCCCAGCCUCCAGCUACGACGCGCGUUUACAGACCGCGUCUCCGCCGGUGCUUGAAGCCAGGGCGGGGUCCUGUGCAUCUUUGACCUUCAGGACUGGUCCUCCGGAGAAGUCACAAUUCCUGUGCCGGUGGAACUAAGAGCUGGUCGGAGAAACUGUAUUGGAGAUGACACGAAGAACUGAUAUGGGGAAGAUGGUUAGAACCUGCAGGAAGGCUUCUCGAGGUGAUGCUGAUGGGCAAUUGGAUUUGGGAAUCAUUGAAGCAGAAGACCUUUAAGGUACCUUCAAACUCUAAAUUUUGGUGAAUUUAUCUAUACCAAUUGUGGUCCCUAGGCCAACAGCAUCAUCUGGAAGCUUGUUUGAAAUGCAGAUUCUUGGGCCUCGCUCAAGACCUACUGAAUCAGAAACUCUGGAGCUGCCAUGUCAUGAGGACACUCAGGCAUUGCCAUGGAGAAGCCCAAGUGACAAGGAACUGAGGCUUCCUGCCAACUGCCAGUGAUGACCUGAGGCUGCAGUCAAGAGCUAUGUGUGGGACCACCUCUUGGAUGUGGAUCCUCCAGCCCAAGCCAGGCCUUCAGAUGACUGCAGACCUGGUUGACAGCUUGACUGUAACCUCACGAGAAGCCCUGAGCCAGAACCACCCAGCUGUGGAGCUCCUGGAUUCCUGACCCUCAGCAACUGUUCGAGAUAAUAAAUGUUUGCUGUUCUAAGCUGCUAAA